rnacentral:rRNA from 1 species
GAUGAACGCUGGCGGCAUGCCUUACACAUGCAAGUCGAACGGUAACAGGUCUUCGGAUGCUGACGAGUGGCGAACGGGUGAGUAAUACAUCGGAACGUGCCUAGUAGUGGGGGAUAACUACUCGAAAGAGUGGCUAAUACCGCAUGAGAUCUACGGAUGAAAGCAGGGGAUCGCAAGACCUUGUGCUACUAGAGCGGCCGAUGGCGGAUUAGGUAGUUGGUGGGAUAAAGGCUUACCAAGCCGACGAUCUGUAGCUGGUCUGAGCGGACGAUCAGCCACACUGGGACUGCGAGACGGCCCAGACUCCUACGGGAGGCAGCAGUGGGGAAUUUUGGACAAUGGGCGAGAGCCUGAUCCAGCAAUGCCGCGUGCAGGAUGAAGGCCUUCGGGUUGUAAACUGCUUUUGUACGGAACGAAAAGCUCUGGGUUAAUACCCUGGGGUCAUGACGGUACCGUAAGAAUAAGCACCGGCUAACUACGUGCCAGCAGCCGCAGUAA